AAGAGUUAGGGUCUUCUAGGCCCGACCUCCCAACCCUAUGUUUAUUGAACCUCUGUUGCUUCGGCGGACCCGCUUCACGGCCGCCGGAGGACCGCUGAAAGGCGUCCUCUGGCCAGCGUCCGCCGAUAGCCAACCACUUAAAACUCUUGUACCAAACCAUGUCGUCUGAAUUUACUUGAUUAAAAUCAAAAACA
rnacentral:misc_RNA from 1 species